AUUACAGAGUUGCGCUUACAUAUUUGUAUUAAACUACAAUAGAUUUCUUUUUUCGUUCAGAGAACUUCUAGUAAAUUUUGCGUGACAGAGAAAUAACUUUGAUUGAAACAAAAAGAUUUUCCGUCUGCCUUUGUGAUCCUUUUACAGAUAUAGGAAGAACACCGAGAGAUAUCCCACCAGCUCACUAUACAUUAAAAGUAGAUUCAUUCUCAUUCCUUGUUCAAAUACUUGAGAAAGCUGGAAGAAAGAGAUAUGAGUCUGAUGUUUUUGAAGCCAGUGGUCACAAAUGGAAACUGUGUCUCUAUCCAAUUGGCGAUAUAGAAGGAGGUGGAGAGGGACACAUCUCUCUUUGCUUGGCCAUCACAAACACACAGGCUUUACCUCUUGGUUGGGAAGUUAAUGUGAGUUUCAAGUCCUUCGUGCUUGACCAGACUCAAGAAAAAUACUUGACGAUUCAAGAUGUGUUAUGUAUCCGACUUUUCAGUUCUAAACAAAGAAGUUUUUAACAUGUUAGAUUUUGAUUUCAUACUUUUUAAUCCAAAAUCUUGCUAAUGCUAUUUACACUUGGAGAAUCUUCAAUUUUUCCCGUUCAACGAGCUCGAAUUCGUUCAGCAAGUUUCACUCUUCAAGAUUGCAAGUGGUAUAUAUUGUUCAGAUAAACUGUUUCUCCUUUUAAUUUUGUAUAUGUUCUGAAAGCAGACAAUUUAAGGACAGCUAAUAUAUUGCUGUUUAGGAAGUUAGAGCUCCAUCCCAAAGGAUACCCUGUAGAUGAGCACAAUAAGUUUGCACUUAGAAUCUGCUUCGAUGGGACAGCUACGUAUACACCGAGAGUCUAUGCAGAUUAUAAGCUGACGAUAAAGAAUCAAGCGGAUGGUGAGGAUGUCAUGGCUACAGCUAGUACUGGAUUAUUCUCUGGUAGUAUAUUUUGGGUUUGGAGGAAUCCCCAAAAGCUAGGUCCAGUGACUGAUAUAUCUGAGGAAUUUAUUGUCAAUGAUACAUUGGUUGUUACAUUCGAGAUUACGCGCUUUUUCGCUGUGAAAAGAUUUGCCUAGUGUAGUCUAAUGUUUCGCUUGAGUUUCACAAAAAAACUAUGGAUAGCACCGACCAUUUAUGAUAUCAUGAGGCUGACUUACAAGUUUGAUAGGAAACGAGCAGAUGACGAUGACAUGUAAACCAUAUCUUCUGGUCUUUUCCCCUUGGAGCAAUUAGCUUGGUGAUUACUGAUUACUGAACAAGGCUUCUUCACACUUUGUAGGAACUUAUUUCGGUUGCUGCACUUAGCCUUUGAACAUUAUUUCAUGACACUGGGUGUUGGAUAUGAUAGAAACUGCUUUUAACCAGUGUGUUCUGGUUUUGUUAUAUCAGAUGCAUUAGCGUUUAAGACAUUUCUUCUUUUACCUCCAGUAGUCAUUAUAUUGUUUAUCCUUCAUCUGUUGGCAACACAUUGCUUUUGUGAAAGAUAUCCAAUUCGUCUGAAAAAAGAGUAGCUUAGGAGUAAUUGGUAAA